UGUCUUACUAUUUCUUCUUAUCUGGUGUUUUCAGAAAAAGAAGAAAGCGAAGAAGCUGGCGAAGGACUCGCUAAAAAGAAUAAACCGCAUGGGCAGAGCAGGAGAGGCGGACCGGAAGAUCACAGUGAAGAUGCCCAGGCAUUUGUUUGCAGGGAAACGAAAGCUGAACAAGGUUUCGAGGAGAUAGUCAUGGACUCUUAUGGUGUCAUCUUUUCUUGUGAAAAAAGAAAUAAAUUCUUAAAUUUUGUCGAUAUGGUUCAAAUAGGAUUUUAUGUCACUAAAGGCUCAAUAAGUAUUUUGGUGGUCAA